rnacentral:rRNA from 1 species
GGAUUGACAGAUUGAUAGCUCUUUCUUGAUUUUUGUGGGUGGUGGUGCAUGGCCGUUCUUAGUUGGUGGAGUGAUUUGUCUGCUUAAUUGCGAUAACGAACGAGACCUUAACCUGCUAAAUAGACCGACUAGCGUUUGCUGGUUGCUUGUCUUCUUAGAGGGACACUCGGCUCAAGCCGAUGGAAGUUUGAGGCAAUAACAGGUCUGUUAUGCCCUUAGAUGUUCUGGGCCGCACGCGCGCUACACUGACAAGGACAAUGGGCAUUUUACCUGGACUGAAAAGUUUGGGUAAUCCUAGAAACCUUGUCGUGCUGGGGAUAGGGCAUUGCAAUUAUUGCCCUUCAACGAGGAAUGCCUAGUAAGUGCGUGUCAUCAGCACGCGUUGAUUACGUCCCUGCCCUUUGUACACACCGCCCGUCGCUACUACCGAUUGGAUGGCUCAGUGAGGCUUUCGGACUGGCCAGGGCUGUUGGAAACAUCAGCCUAGUGCGAGAAAGUUAGUCAAACUUGGUCAUCUA